rnacentral:rRNA from 1 species
AAUGAACGCUGGCGGCGCGCCUAAUACAUGCAAGUCGAGCGAGAAGACGUAGCAAUACGUUUGUAAAGCGGCGAACGGGUGAGGAAUACAUGGGUAACCUACCCUCGAGUGGGGAAUAACUAGCCGAAGGUUAGCUAAUACCGCGUACGCUUCUUGGACUUCGGUUCAGGGAGGAAAGCGAUACCGUGGGUAUCGCGCUCUUGGAUGGGCUCAUGUCCUAUCAGCUUGUUGGGAGGUAACGGCUCACCAAGGCUUCGACGGGUAGCUGGUCUGAGAGGACGAUCAGCCACACUGGCACUGCGACACGGGCCAGACUCCUACGGGGAGGCAGCAGUAAGGAUAUUGCGCAAUGGGCAAAGCCUGACGCAGCGACGCCGCGUGGGGGAUGAAGGUCUUCGGAUCGUAAACCCCUUUC